rnacentral:ncRNA from 1 species
AUUCAGAAAGGGCAAACCUAUUGAAAGGUAGGGACGCAAAGCUGUGGGUCUAAGGGAGCGGGUGAUUUUCCUAUGACUGCAUAGCCGCCUCA